ACAACCUUCUGGACCUUUGCUGAGAAGAGAUUAAACCACUAUAUUUGCACAGUAGUGUUCAGCAUGAAUUUCUUAUCUUUCCCUGUGCAGGCAGCACUGGAAAUGUGAGGUUUGAAACCACCUGGUGGUUUUUGUAGCACAGCAGGCAGGUAACAUGCCCUGGUGUGGCCAGAUAACAGGACCACUUGCGCAGCCAGACAUCACCAAGCACUGACCCCCUCCAUUAGCAUGAUCCUCCUUGAUCCAUGAGACCUAUUUCCAACCUGCUAAGUGCCUUCAUGUAUCAAUUCUGACUUCCGCUUCUCCCCAAACUCCUGGCUGAUUGCAGGUCUUUUAGAACUCAUCACUCUCAUCUCUAUCUCCUACAGCUAAGCUUCUUGUUCCAUUGUUUUAUUUACCGCUGCAUGUGCCAACCCCUCCCUUGCCACGUAUGACUUGUAAACUAUGCCACUGGAGGUAGAGAUGGGGUGCUAUCACGCCCAGCUUAAUGUCUAGUUAUAAGGUCCUGCUCCUGUCCCCCAACACCGAUGCUGGGGUCAAGCAGUUACAGGACAGCUAAAGAGUGUUUCCUGCCCUGAACGGCUUUCACUGAAGUCUGUGCAUUGCCACAGACAGCUACUACAGCUACAGAAAACAUCAGGAUCAUUGCCACAAUAAUGCAUGUGAGAGCCUAAGUCCUGCUAUGUCAGAGGACAGGGCUGAUGGACAUAAGGUCUUGGCUGGCACACAAGAAGAGCCAGAAAUCUUUUAUCAGGCCUCCCAGGAACUCGGACUGGGACAAAGCUUGUGUCCUUUGAGCUCACACGAGAAUGAGGUAAGUCUAGACAUUACCACGGUUGCUCAAAUAUCAGCUGCACAGAAGAGAUUGUGUAAUUUUGUGCUUUUGACAAACAGGGAGCAGCAGAGUGGGACAGCUUCAGCACAGAGCGCUGUACUGGCAGCACCUUUGCUUUUAAGGGCAAAGUCUGAUGGUGAAGAACUGCAUCCCUUUUCUUAGAAAAUGGAUAUGUUGCUCCAUCUUUUGUAACAGAGUUGUGGCCAGACAUGGCAUCGCUUGGCGAAGGAAUGAAGUACACUUUCUGGAAAUGUCGAUGCACACAUUCUGAAAAACAUUCUGUAAGUUUUUUAGGGAAAAAAAAAAGUGACAAAUGGUAAUUAACUGAGAGUGGGUGGAUCUGAGGGGGUGAAUGAAAGGUCUGGCAGAAGAUCACAGCUACCUGUGUUCCAGAAAAGAGACGUGGGUGAACAUGAUGUUCAGGGGGCUUUUUUCUUCUCUUAUUCAGAGAGACUUUUUCCAUUGACUGGAACAGGGCUGUCGUGCCAGCCCAUUUCUGACAGCCACCAUCUGAAAACUGCAGUCUGGAACAAUUAUGGCUGUGAAUCACUCCACCGAAGCGGGCUGCUCCUGGACGUGGGUUCUUGAACCAGGUCCCAAACCUGAUAUUGCUCGAUAUUGCCAGGAUGACACAAGUUAGAUUUUGCUCCAGCGUUUCCAACUGUUGGGAUUUUAUCGCAUUAUCUGAAAUUCUGCUUAAUGCCUCAGCCCCUAGGGCUAUAAGAUUAUGUAAGAAUCUCUGCUUUUAUUACAAAAUAAAGUUCAUUUUCUAGUUU